rnacentral:rRNA from 1 species
GAUGCCCUGGCAGUCAGAGGCGAUGAAGGACGUGCUAAUCUGCGAAAAGCGUCGGUAAGGUGAUAUGAACCGUUAUAGCCGGCGAUGUCCGAAUGGGGAAACCCAGUGCAAUUCGUUGCACUAUCGUUAACUGAAUACAUAGGUUAACGAGGCGAACCGGGGGAACUGAAACAUCUAAGUACCCCGAGGAAAAGAAAUCAACCGAGAUUCCCCCAGUAGCGGCGAGCGAACGGGGAGCAGCCCAGAGUCUGAAUCAGCUUGUGUGUUAGUGGAACGGUCUGGAAAGUCCGACGGUACAGGGUGAUAGUCCCGUACACCAAAAUGCACAGGCUGUGAACUCGAAGAGUAGGGCGGGACACGUGGUAUCCUGUCUGAAUAUGGGGGGACCAUCCUCCAAGGCUAAAUACU